GACGAACGCUGGCGGCGUGCUUAACACAUGCAAGUCGAACGGAAAGGCCCUGCUUUUGUGGGGUGCUCGAGUGGCGAACGGGUGAGUAACACGUGAGUAACCUGCCCUUGACUUUGGGAUAACUUCAGGAAACUGGGGCUAAUACCGGAUAGGAGCUCCUGCUGCAUGGUGGGGGUUGGAAAGUUUCGGCGGUUGGGGAUGGACUCGCGGCUUAUCAGCUUGUUGGUGGGGUAGUGGCUUACCAAGGCUUUGACGGGUAGCCGGCCUGGGAGGGUGACAGGGCACAUUGGGACACAGGAGCGGCCCAGAGGGCUUCUGGCGGCAGGGGCGGGGACGUGUCGGAGAAGCGCGGCAGGAUUGAUCAACCUCUCCGGGUGGUGGAAGUCGGCCUUCGGGGUGGAAAACAUGUUUGCCUGUCUAGGAACGUCAGGGCGGGUCAUAGUUAAAGAAGCACCGGCUAACUACGU
rnacentral:rRNA from 1 species